UUGGCCGUGGGGCCUUGGUUCCAGCAGCUGCUGAAUAAACAGCCACCUCCGUUUGUGAAGGGUGAGCUCACAGCGAUGCCACGCGGCUGAAGUUUCUAUUAAGUCACGAGGGCACUUAUCAGGAGGAAAGGUAGCGGCAGGUCUGUUAGUUAAUGGGCACGGGACCCCGGGUGGUCAAAAGGGGACCACGGUGUGAGCUGCUGCACGCUGCGAUAUCCUGCAGAUGCCUCCAAAAUGACAGCUGGCGGGGCGAAUGGUCCGGCGUGCAAACAUUCAAGGUGUUCUCAAGAAACAUUAAAACGUGUCAGUAGUUUAAUUAUUCAUCAGUUGCCAAUGCUGUGGUGUCCAACUACCUCGAUGCGAAUGAAACAAAACUCGCCUGGAGAAGACGGGAAUCCAUGAACGAGUCAUUCUACUCUCGGACGAUUGCAGCAGACACAAGAGCACAACGAGGGACACUCCUCUCUAACUGUCUCUGCAGUGUUGUUCAAAUAUAUGGAUACAAGUGGGAUUGUGUUCUUUCUUUGAGUGGAAUUAUACCAAAUAGACCACCACUUGUUG
ensembl:lncRNA